UUUCUGCCGGACACUAUUUUUAGAAGUUCGAACUACUUCAUACAACAUGGCAACUUAAUCAAAAGUAAAUGGUUAAUGGCUUCUACCUUUCGAUAGAGUCUUUAUGAGAAAGAUCUACCUACUGAAAACGAUAAAUGGUUAAAAAUGCAAUUUUAUUCUGAUACAAAUGAUAGAAAAAAUUUAUCAAUCAUUGCAUAAAUAAUUAAAAUGAAUAUAUGCGUGUGAUAUUCGUAAAUAAUAUUAAAUUAGCUUAAACUUUGUAAGACUAGGAAAGGAGAUUAUAAAGAAAUCCACAAAACUACGAACGUUGCAUCGUUCACAAUUAUAAACUACUAUCGGUUUUAUGUCCGAUGCGAAGAAUUAUCAAAUACGAGACGAUUUUUAUAAGGAAACAUUGCACUAGGUGACAUGCCUAGCAGCCGUGACAUCGACCGUGUUGAUCGUAAUGGAAGAUUCAAAUCAAGACGACGAGAAAGUAUUGUUAAUGAUAUAAAUCGACAUGGGUAUGAAUCAACCGAAAAGAGACACAGAAGACACGGUAAAAGUCGAAAUUCCGGAAAGAAAAAAAAGAAAAGAUCUAGAGACGAGUCUCUGGAAACAAUUCCAAGUAUUGCUUCAAGUGUUGUGAAACCAUUGGUGGAGUAUUCUGAUGUGAGUAGUGAAGAUUUAUCAGAGCCAGAAGCUGGAGAAAUACAAUCUGAAGAAAGCCGGGCUAAUAGUUUCACAGACAAUGAAAUUAACGAUCGAUUAUUACAAUCACGGUUUUAUGGAAAUAGUCCAAAUCAGGGACUUGGACCAUCACCAAUUAGUUUUUCACCUUCGCCGCCAUCAACGCAUUGUCAUACAACACAAAAUUAUUCGCCAAACGAUAAAUCAGACAUAAUUCAUCAUGAUUCACCGGAAUUUGGCGAAGAAACUCGUCGUCACUCAAGAAGGAAAGAAAAAAAACAUAGACGAGAAAAGAAGAAAAAAAUAAGUUUAAGUCCUUGUUCAAGUUCAUCAAGAAAAAGGAAAAGAAAAUCAAAGCGCACAUCACCCAGUCUUAGUCCUGAAUUAAUAGAAGACAUCACAUUAAGUUCAGAAAGAGAAAAAGUUUCAGAAAAGUGGUUAGAAUCACCACUAAUGCCAUUGAAAGACAAUACUUCACCAAUUUCUCCAGCAACACCUUGUGAACAAAGAUCCCCAAGUGAUAUGGAUCUUGAAUCUCCUCAGAGAAAUGAUAACACAACUCCUCCACCUGCAAUAUCAGUUUCUUCAAGACGUACUGAAUCACCUCACACACCUUUGCUUCCUCCUAGACAGCCAAUAACUCCUGAAAAAGGUAGUCCAUCAAAACACUCUCCAGAAAGAAUAAAACGCAGUUCCAGUGUACAUCGUUUAAAAAGAAGCAUAACUCCUUCUGUUGUAUUAAGUAAUAGUAGAAGACGAGCUCAUAGUCCUAGUCCUUUUUCAAAAAGAAGAGACUACAGUCCACCAAAAAGAAGAGAAUAUAGUCCUAAUUCUAUUCUUCAUAGAGUAAGACAUUCUCCUAGCCCAAACCGACGACGUGAAAUUAGUCCAAGUCCUUCAGGACAUCGUCGACGUGAUUUUGUAUCGUCUGGAUCACCAACUAGUAAACGAAGAAAACGAGAAGAUUCGAAUCGUCGACAUAGGCAUCAUGAAAAAGAUAGAAGAGAAAAACGUAAAUCUCGACCAACAAAAAGUCCAUCUAACAGAAAUUUACCUUUUCCUUUAUCUCGAUCGCGUUCACGAAGUUCAGGAAGAUGGAGAAAAUUUUCACGUUCGCGAUCUAAAUCACGAAGAAGAAGCCGUACACCCAAAAAGUCAAGAUCCCCCAGUAAAUUACAAAAAUCAAUAAGAAAACAUAGGUCUAAGAGUCCCAGAUCAAAUAUGAGGUUAUCACCACCAUUAAGGACACGCGCUCGUAGCCCAAUGAGCAUGAAAGCUAUCAAUUUACGAGGACAAGCAAAAAUUAAUGAGACCAGUCUUUUUGCAGAAUUGGUAAAAGACAGAAAUAUGAGGGAAUUGGCUUAUAAAAAACUUCAAGAAGCGAAAGAAAAAGCCACUAAUCAAGAUGAUAUUCAAAUUAUUGAAGGUAGUGAUGAAAAUGAUGGUAAUAACAUUUUAAACAGCAAAUCAACUUUAGAUAAAUCUAAUGGACGUCCUCAAGCUUCUGAUUCUGUUAAAUCUAUUGACAUUGUUAAUAUUCCAGUUCCCAUAAAUGUUGAAAAAAGUGAAAAUAGUGAAGGACUUACGCCACCAUUUCCAACCCUGUCAUCAGUAUCAUCUAUUCAAUCUUUGCCAAUGAAUACACAAAAUCCUUUAACACCUCCGACCAAUAAUACACUCAUUGAUAACAUUUCAAAUUCUGUUAAAACACCUCCUCUUACUGAGACAACAAUUUCUACUCAACCAUCUCCAGUGCCUGUUUUAAGUGGAGUAAUUGCAACUUCAGUUACCGGUGUACCAACAACUAAUAUGACAACAGCUACCAAUGUUAUAGCAAAAUUUAACACUCCGAAUAAUUUAGUUCCAAUUAAAUCUGUUGAUCCUCCAAAGACUCCAAUUGUUAAAUUCAAAACUAAAAGUUUAUCAAAACUUCCACUUCCACCUGGAAUAAAUCAGAAUGAUUUAGAAAGCAUUGACUCUCCACCAAGUAGAUCUCCAAGUCCACAAAGGCCCAAACUUAAUGUAGUUUCUAAUACUAAAGUUGGUGUUAAAAAAAGUAUUAAGGAUUUACCAAUGCCUCCAGUUGCUCCGGGUUCUGAUGAAUUUUCAGGUGAAGAAGAUCCUAAUGUCACACCACCUAGAGGAGUACUUGAUCGUAUUGCACCAAAACCAAAACUUAAACGACCCAAAAUUUUAAAGAAGAAAAAUUCGAGAAAUUGUCAUGUUCCUAUGUCAGCUUCUGGAGGUAAAGAUUGGGGUGAACGAUGUGUCGAUGUUUUUGAAGUAAUUGCACAAAUUGGUGAAGGCACUUAUGGUCAGGUUUACAAAGCCCAAGAUAAAAGAGCUGGUGUGCUUGUGGCAUUGAAAAAAGUUCGUUUGGAAAAUGAAAAAGAAGGAUUCCCUAUCACAGCCGUUCGAGAGAUCAAAAUUUUACGACAAUUGAAUCACAAAAAUAUUGUCAACCUUAGAGAAAUAGUCACUGAUAAGCAAGAUGCUAAAGAUUUUAGAAAAGAUAAAGGAUCUUUUUAUCUUGUAUUUGAAUACAUGGAUCAUGAUUUAAUGGGAUUGUUGGAAUCAGGAAUGGUAAAUUUUAAUGAAAUGAAUAAUGCUAGUAUUAUGAAGCAAUUAUUAGAUGGUUUAAAUUAUUGUCAUGGAAAAAAUUUUCUGCAUAGAGAUAUUAAAUGUUCUAAUAUUUUAAUGAACAAUCGGGGUGAAGUAAAAUUAGCAGAUUUUGGUCUCGCAAGACUUUAUAAUGCUGAAGAUCGACAAAGACCGUAUACCAAUAAAGUAAUUACAUUAUGGUAUCGUCCACCGGAGUUACUUCUUGGCGAAGAACGUUACGGACCAGCAAUUGAUGUCUGGAGUUGUGGUUGCAUACUUGGAGAGUUAUUUUGUAAAAAACCAUUAUUCCCGGCAAACGUCGAAAUGAUACAACUAGAAAUGAUUUCUCGAGUUUGUGGUACGCCAACUCCGGCAGUGUGGCCUUCUGUGAUAAAGUUACCACUUUGGCAUACUUUAAAGCCCAAAAAAACACAUAGAAGACGAUUGAGAGAAGAUUUUUCUUCAAUGCCAGCUCCUGCGCUUGAUUUACUCGAUAAAAUGUUAGAACUGGAUCCUGAGAAACGUAUUACUGCUGCUGAUGCUUUAAAAAGUGCUUGGUUAAAAAAUAUUCAACCAGAAUUAAUGCCUAUACCUGAACUACCUAAAUGGCAAGAUUGUCAUGAACUUUGGUGUAAAAGACGUCGUCGACAGUUAAGGGAACAACAAGAGAAUGCAAAUAUUGGCAUUAAUCUUUGAAGAAAAGGAAGAUAUAUAAUUACUGACAUAAUCUACAUCAACAUAAUUUUUUAUCAGUGGAAAAGAAAUUGUAUAUUUUCUGCAUUGUCUUCAAUUGAUGCACGAACAAUUUAAAGAAACAGGCUCUUCGUGAAAUGGUUAAAAAAAAAGAAACAAUAAAUUUCAAAGUCAUCAUAAUUAGUGGAAAUACGAAGUACAGAAAAUAAAUGGAAACUCAUCGGGGAAGUAUCAUAUAAUUUAAUAUUUUUUUAAUUUGAAACGUAAUCUAUGAUUUUAUUUCAAUUAAAUCGUUCACGACUUGAAAUUGUCAAAUUGAAAAAGAAAAAAAAACAAAUAAAA
rnacentral:misc_RNA from 1 species